rnacentral:rRNA from 1 species
UACGUAGGGUGCAAGCGUUGUCCGGAAUUAUUGGGCGUAAAGAGCUCGUAGGCGGCUUGUCACGUCGACUGUGAAAACCCGGGGCUCAACCCCGGGCCUGCAGUCGAUACGGGCAGGCUAGAGUUCGGUAGGGGAGACUGGAAUUCCUGGUGUAGCGGUGAAAUGCGCAGAUAUCAGGAGGAACACCGGUGGCGAAGGCGGGUCUCUGGGCCGAUACUGACGCUGAGGAGCGAAAGCGUGGGGAGCGAACAGG